rnacentral:lncRNA from 1 species
CCCAGCAACUGUAAAUCUUGCUCCCCCUCUCCAUCUGGCUCACUUCUCUGAUCAAUCGUUGAAACCUUGCUCGAUUCUCUCCAAAACCCAGAGCCAUUAAUUUUCAUUUGAUCCGUUUCAUCUCUUUGACAAAUUUCUAGAAAUAUUAUUAUUAUUUUUGUCCGUCUUUUUGUUUUCUUUGAUGUGCAUUUGGAACGUUCUGAUUUGAUCACGGACAUGUGAGGGGGACAAAUUAAGGAAAAGAUUGUAUCCUCUAAUCGAAGAAGUGGGUAUGUUUAAUAAACUCUUUGUCACAAUUUUCGUACAUUAGCUUUUGACGCGCCAUUUUCCUGAUUUAAAGGGUCUGAAGGAAAUUUCGUUCAAUAUAUUUUUUUAGGCAAAGAUUCAAUGUUUGUGAAUGAUUGAUUUCUUUUCCUGGCAAGUCUAUUUAUUGGAUUUAGGGUCUUGUGUUUUGUUUGUUAAUCGGCGAGCGUUAAAAGCCAUUAUAGUCUUUUGCCUAAGUUUUUCAUUUUAUAGGCUAAUGGAUUUCGAGUAAAAAGACAAUGUUAAUGUACUAGACAAGUAUUAGAUAUACUAAAAGCCAUUUAAACAUUCUUCAGAAAAUGGCUUUCUACUUUCUAAGUGAGAGCCGUUCAAACUCGAUUUUACUGGUUUUCAUUGAAGCAUGUUAUUUGGAAAUUAUGUAAAAUAAUAUUUGUAUAUAUUAUUAAGACCUGGGUUCCAGUUUAAAAGGUGAACCUAUGAGUAGGCUAAUCUUGAAAUUCACAUGCUAUUUUUGAGUCUUAAUUGAAUCGGAUUGCUAUUUAAUGGGCUCCAAUACCAUGUAAAGAUUUAGGGUUCCAUCUUAAAAAGUUAACCCUAUUAAGAGAAGAGGAGUAAGUUAACCCUAUUAAGAGAAGAGGAA